CGCUCUUCUGGAGCUGAGACACUCAUCUUCUCCUGCCCUGGCACAUCAAAACUCCAGGUUCUCUGAUCUUUGAACACUGGGACUUAAUCCAGCAUCCCCUUACUGCCUGAAGUUCUCAGGACUUUGGACUUGGACUGAACGAUGCUACCAGCUUCCCUGGCUUUCCAGCUUGUAGAUGGCGUAUCAUGGAAUUUCUCAGUCUCCAAAGUAAUAAAUUUGUAAAUUUUCACAAGCAAGAAUCUUCUUCUACUUCUUUAACCUCACAAUGCAUAGAACAAGCAACCAAGAACCACAAAAAUCACUGGCCACUGACAAAUGACACUUCAAGAGGAAUACAGGCUUAAUAGCUGCGAACACAGGUUCGUUGAACAAAUGAAUAAUUUUGAAUGAUUCUUGCAUCUCCAUUUGGUAUUGUCCUUCCUUUUUCUUCUUUUUUCUUUCACUUCUACCCACCUACCAACCUCACAAAGUGUCCAGUACCUCACCCUAGAAUAGGUGAUACCUCUAGGAUACCUCACCAUAGAAUUCUGACUAGAAUUAACCCUACACAGUCAGCUCUAUAACUGUAGAGUAUUACCCACACCACCAAAAUAUUCUUCAUCAGAAUGUCCUGAGUUUGAUACAGUAAUCCAUGCUUAUAUGUCAAUGGAUGCUCCCCUCCUGGAUCAAAUAAGGUAGGUUUCAUAGGAAGAGAGACAAUAGAGCUUUAAACAAAUGGAGUUGACUUACAAAAAUUUUAACGUCCAAUGCAGCCAGUGAGGGAGAUCCUUUGAGGCAUUUAGGAACCUGUAGCAAUCUUUAAAUCAUAACAGAAUAGAAAAGAAGACCUACGAAUAGAAUAGGCUUACUAUAUUGAAUAAUAUGUAAAUUCAUAUACCUUUCACCAUACCUUGCCUUCUUACCUUCUAUCCUCCAAAUUUGUCAAACUGAAGACAUUAAAGUUGGUAAAUAUAUUUAUGACAAUUAGUCUUACUACUAUGAUUAACUAGUUUCAGAUUCUGACCAGCGCUUAUAUAACAUAACUCCCCAAUCCUGAAUUUUCUCAUUGUGCUAUUCGUCUGAUUACAAAAGAAAAUAUAUUUUUGUAAAAAUUUAGAAAAUAUAGAAAGUUUAAAUAAGAAAAUGGCAGUAAAUCAAACGCAUAAUCCAAAUAGCCAGAAAGAACCAUUAUUAAUAUCUAGAUAUAUUUCUUCUCAGUCUUUCCCUAAAAACUAUAAUUAUAAAAAUAUAUACACAUAUAAUAUAUACUUGCCUAAUUUAAUCAAUAUCCUAAAAAUAAACGUUUAUCUGU